GGUUACUCUUUCCCAAGCUGGGGUAGAGGAAGUUGACAGUUCUUUACAAGUAGCUAAACAUUAAAGAGUUUAGAAAAUUACAAACACGGUGAGAGUCAGAAUGGUAACAAAGGCAGGACAAUGAUCUGUUUCAUACAUUCAUAUCCACAAUGUUGGGCAACUUUUUAGUAGUCCUAUCAGUUUUAUGCACAAGCCUAGAGAGAGCUAAUUUCAUGUUCUGCUUAAAAAUAAUAAUAA